rnacentral:rRNA from 1 species
CAGCCGCCGCGGGAAUACGUAGGGUGCGAGCGUUAAUCGGAAUUACUGGGCGUAAAGCGUGCGCAGGCGGUUUUGUAAGACAGGCGUGAAAUCCCCGGGCUCAACCGGGGAGGGUCAUUGGAAACUGGGAAACUUGAGUGCAGAAGAGGAGAGUGGAAUUCCACGUGUAGCGGUGAAAUGCGUAGAGAUGUGGAGGAACACCAGUGGCGAAGGCGACUCUCUGGUCUGUAACUGACGCUGAGGAGCGAAAGCGUGGGGAGCGAACAGGAUUAGAGACCCCUGUAGUCCCUGUCUCUUAACA